GGGGCGGUAGCUCAGCUGGGAGAGCGCCACGUUCGCAUCGUGGAGCUUGACGGCCCGGAUCGACUCGGAAGACCUA
rnacentral:tRNA from 1 species